UACGUAGGGUGCAAGCGUUGUCCGGAAUUAUUGGGCGUAAAGAGCUCGUAGGCGGUUUGUCGCGUCUGCUGUGAAAACUCGGGGCUUAACUCCGGGCCUGCAGUGGGUACGGGCAGACUAGAGUGCGGUAGGGGUGACUGGAAUUCCUGGUGUAGCGGUGGAAUGCGCAGAUAUCAGGAGGAACACCGAUGGCGAAGGCAGGUCACUGGGCCGCAACUGACGCUGAGGAGCGAAAGCGUGGGGAGCGAACAGG
rnacentral:rRNA from 1 species